rnacentral:lncRNA from 1 species
CCGGACCUAUUGGACAAUUUACAAUCAAUAUGGAAACCAACACAUUUUCACAUUCAAACCUAUUUAAAACAUGCUUUUCAUAAGUAAAUACUCAUCAUAUACCAAAUGAUCAAAUGGUCAUCUUGAACCAUCACCAAAAACCUUUAUCAAAAAGACUCAAGCCUAUACAUGUCAUAUAACCAAAAUCACAAAGCUUAUAAAUGUCAAACCAUAACUGGAUAGUGUGAUGACAUCUCCGACGACUUCCAAACCGAGCAAGCCUCCGAAACUCUAUAAACAAAAAAAAAGCUCUAAGACUUAGUAAGCUCGUAUAGAAAUAAAAUCAUGUUAUUAACUAACCGUAUUUAAAAAAAUUAUUCAAAAUAUGAUAUAAUACAUAUGAUUGCACCAUUCUAUUUCAAAUUCAUGCACAUAAUUAAUCCAGAUUUUCAUGAGUUUAUUCAUUCAAAACACGUAUAGUUUGAAUACUUCUUAUCAUUUCAUUCACAUUUUCAUAUGCGUAAAUAAUUAUAUAAAUAUACUUUAUUAUUCAAUAUCAUCACCUUUUCUUUAGCCAAGUAAAUUAUCAUCAAAUAACAAUAUUCCGCACACCAUGUGCCAUAUGUAUAUUUAGUUAACACAACUAUAACUCAUAUCUCACAUAUCAUUUAAUUCAUACCUCAUUAUAGUCAAAUAAACACAUUUUGGCAUGAAUCAUAUUUAUACAUAAAUCUUUCUCAUUUCAUAUGCAUGAUACACUAAGAAAUUACCAAAUUACCUUCAUAUGAUUCUCACUUAGGUUCUAUACGUAUCUGUAUCACUUAAUUCAAUUGUACUUUCAUUCUCAUCUUGAUUUUGCCCGUUGAAUCAUUCGAAAUCGUUAAGGAUACUCAGAAAUCAUAAUAGCUCGUAUAAUGUCAUAUCCCAGAUAUGUUCUUACAUGUUAUUACAUAUCGAUGCCACUGUCCCAGACAGGGUCUUAUACGAAAUCAUAUAACGAUGUCAAUGUCCCAGACAUGGUCUUAUACGUAAUCACAGUACAAUGCCAAUGUCUCAGACAUGGUCUUACUUAUUAUCACAUAUCGAUGCCACUGUCCCAGACAGGGUCUUAUACGAAAUCAUAUAACGGUGCCAAUUUCCCAAACAUGGUCUUAUACGUAAUCACAGUACAAUGUCAAUGUCCCAGACAUGGUCUUACAUGUUAUCACAUAUCGAUGCCACUAUCCCAGACAGGGUCUUAUACGAAAUCAUAUAACGAUGUCAAUGUCCUAGACAUGGUCUUAUACGUAAUCACAGUACAAUGCCAAUGUCCCAGACAUGGUCUUACUUAUUAUCACAUAUCGAUGCCACUGUCCCAGACAGGGUCUUAUACAAAAUCAUAUAACGAUGCCAAUUUCCCAGACAUGGUCUUAUACGUAAUCACAGUACAAUGCCAAUGUCCCAGACAUGAUCUUACAUGUUAUCACAUAUCGAUGCCACUGUCCCAGACAGGGUCUUAUACGAAAUCAUAUAACGAUGCCAAUGUCCCAGACAUGGUCUUAUACGUAAUCACAGUACAAUGCCAAUGUCCCAGACAUGGUCUUACAUGUUAUCACAUAUCGAUGCCACUGUCCCAGACAGGGUCUUAUACGAAAUCAUAUAACAAUGCCAAUGCCCCAUACAUGGUCUUAUAUGUAAUCACAGUACAAUGCCAAUGUCCCAGACAUGGUCUUACAUGUUAUCACAUAUCGAUGUCACUAUCCCAGACAAGGUCUUAUACGAAAUCAUAUAACGAUGCCAAUGUCCCAGACAUGGUCUUAUACGUAAUCACAGUACAAUGCCAAUGUCCCAAACAUGGUCUUACAUGUUAUCAAAUCUUGGUAACCUUAAUGUUAUGACAUUUGUAUCUUAUUCUAUUCUUUAGGUUCAUACGGGACUUUUGGACGUCGUAACUCUGCCAAUUUCGUCUCGUUUUCAUGACCAUUCAUCAUUCAAUUCAAUUUAAUAAUAAUUAAGUAUUUAUAAAAAAAUUUAAAUACGUUAUUACCAUACGAACUUACCUCGUUCGCUGUAACGACAAAUUAGGUCGACUAAUCCGAUACUUUGUUUUCCCCGUUCUAGAGAUCUCAUUUUUUUCUCAAUCUAUAUAAUAAUAAAAUUUUAUUUUUUAAUCAUUAAUUCAUUCAAUUUAACAUAAUUUACACAUUUUGGCAAAAAUUACACUUUUAACCACAUAAUUUCAAUAUUUCACAAUUUAAUCUCUAAUUUGCAUUUUCAUCAAAAAUUACUUCAUAAAAUAUGAAAAUCUAACAUCAAAUAUUCAUAUUUUACCAUUAAACAUCAAAGAAUACAUAAGCUCAUCAAUGGCAACUAUAUUUUGCGCAAGUAUCAACAAGCACUUAUUGUGUUUGAGGCUACACGAGCCUUGAACGCCAUGCUUCAUUUUUGGAUCUUAACAAGGGGAAAGGCAUGCUCACAAAUAAACAUAAUCUAGUUCUCACGAAAAAUAUUUCAUUUCUAUACACAUAAAUCAUGCAUCAUAAUUUAAAUAUUUUUAUCAUUUCAUAUAUCCAAUACUUACCUAUAUUUUGUAUUAAAAUUUGAUAUCAAUAUAAUCGAUUUUCAUUUAAUUUACCAUACAAGAUCAUGCAACACGAUAGCUCAAUUUUAAGUACAACAAUGACUCUAGUGUAUAGACGGGUUUGAAUAUCAUACACAUUCAACCUACCUAAACAAAACACUCCAGUGUUUUAAUUUUCAACGUGAAUUUGGACAUAUUGAAUUCUAGCAUGCAUUCGGACACUAAAAAAAAAAAUCAAUAUACAUUUGAACAUUAAAUUUUCACUAGCUGACAAAAAUAAUUUUCAGACAAUUUAGCUCCCUACAUCCUUUCAACAAAUGCUUGGUUCCUUAGCUUCAACCAAUAAUAAUGGGACAUUACUAAAACUGAAAUUUGGAAAUGUAAAUCCUAAAUUAAACUGUUUUAAGCUCCAAAAUUUAAUAACUCUUCAAACAUAAAUCGAACAGUAAUGCAUGUCAAUUUCAACCAUCUUUAUAUUUUGCUUAUUACCACAAAACAGGACAUUUAUCAACCACCAUUUUACUUUAAUUAGAACAGCAGCAGAUCAAUUACACCAAGAUUUAUUGCACUAUAAAAUACAGCAAUUACAUGUUGAAACUAUCAGCAUUCAACAGCAGGUUUCAACACCAACUAUACAUUUAUUUAUCAACUCUUCUUCACUUCUAACAUCAUUAUUUUGGUAACAAAUAACAUGUAUUUUAACUACUAUAACUUUGCUUAACAAUCCUUAAAUCUGCAUUUUACUUGCAUGUAUUAAACACAUAAUAAACAUGGAAACAUUUUCAAAGUUUCAUUGCAGGGACUUACCGAACAGUAGCUGAACCUACUCUUNN